rnacentral:rRNA from 1 species
GGCCUGGUUGGGCGGUCCGCUUAACGGCGUGUACUGUCUGACUGGGUCUUACCUCUUGGUGAGCCGGCGUGCCCUUUAUUGGCGUGCGUCGGGGAACCAGGACUUUUACCUUGAAAAAAUUAGAGUGUUUAAAGCAGGCAAUCUCGCUUGAAUACAUUAGCAUGGAAUAAUAGAAUAGGA